UACGUAGGGUGCAAGCGUUAAUCGGAAUUACUGGGCGUAAAGCGUGCGCAGGCGGUCUUGCAAGACAGAUGUGAAAUCCCCGGGCUCAACUCUGAAACUGCACUCGAUACUGCUUUGCUUGAGGACUGGAGAGGAGAUUGGAAUUCACGGUGUAGCAGUGAAAUGCGUAGAUAUCGUGAGGAAGACCAGUGGCGAAGGCGGAUCUCUGGACAGUUCCUGACGCUGAGGCGCGAAGGCCAGGGGAGCAAACGGG
rnacentral:rRNA from 1 species